ensembl:lncRNA
CCAGAAUGACCCUUAGUUCUCCUGCUCCUGACUUGAAACCUCUGGAAACCUCUGGAAGCAGCUGAAGAAAACCCUAGAUCAAAUGCAAAAAUCCACUCUGAGGCGUUCCCAUCGUGGCUCAGCAGUAAUGAACACAACUAGUAUCCAUGAGGACGUGGGUUCAGUCCCUGGCCUUGGUCAGUGGGUUAAGGAUUCGGCAUUGCUGUGAAUUGUGGUGUAGGUCGCAGAUUCGGCUCAGAUCCCGUGUUGCUGUGGCUUUGGCGUAGGCCAGCAACUGCUGCUCAGAUUCAACCCCUAGCCUGGGAACCUCCAUAUGCAGCAGAUGCGGCCCUAAAAAGAAAAAAAAAAAAAUCCACUCUGAGAAUAUAGGAGGAAACAAUAUGUACAAUGAUUCUUGCUAAGACUUAAUUUAGAUAUAAAAAUAUCUAAAAAAAUUUUUAAAAACUAUCAAAAGAGGAGAAGAAAUAGUGGAAAAGCUCAAAGCAGGAGCCUAUAAACUACAGCCCACCACUUAAAUCUGGUGUUAGCUAAGGAUGGUUUUUAACACUUUCGAAUAAUGGAAAAGAACAAAAACAAAAGAAAAAUAUUUCUCAACACAUGAAAACUAUAUGAAAUUCAAAUGUCAGUGUCUGUAAAUCAAGUUUAAUUGGGACAUAGCUGUGCUCUAUCAACAAUGCUUGCUUUCCGUCUGCAGCAUCAGAGGUGAGUAAUUCUAAUAGAAAACAUGGCACACAAGGCCUAAAAUAUUUAUUAUCUGGGGAGUUCCCGUCGUGGCGCAAAGUUCCCAUUGUGGCUCAGUGAGUUAAGGACCCACCGCUGUUUCUGUGAGAAUGUAGGUUCGCUCCCUGGCCUUGCUCAGUGGGUAAAGGAUCUGGAGUUAAAGAUGCAGCUUGGAUCCAUGGUUGCUGCACCUGCAGCAUAGGCCUGCAGCUGCAGUUCCAAUUUGACCCCUAGCCCAGGAGUUUCCAUAUACCACCACUGGUGUGGCUAUAAAAAGAAAAAAAGUGGGUUUUUUUUUUUUAAGUUUUUUUUUUUUGUGUGUGUGUGUCUUUUUGUAUUUUUAGGGCCACAUCCAUAGCAUAUGGAAGUUCCCAGGCUAGGGGUCGAACUGGAGCUGUAACCGCCUGCCUACGCCACAGCCACAGCAAUGCCAAAUCUGAGCCGAGUCUGUGACCUACACCAAAGCUCACGACAAUGCCGGAUCCUUAACCCACUGAGUGAGGCCAGGGAUCAAACCCACAACCUCAUGGUUCCUAGUUGGAUUCAUUUUCACUGCACCACAAGGGGAACUGCCCUAAAGUUUGGUUUUUGUUUUGUUUUGGUUUGGUUUUUUUGCCCUAAAGUUUUUAACUUAAAAUUAUGAUGGAAAUCAAGACAGGUAGCAGAAUAUAUUUUCUAAAGUUUAUUCUGUCAAAUCAUUCACCAGUGAGUAAAAUGCAGUGGGGUGGAUUCUUCUUUAAAGCAGAGAUCUUUUAAAGACAGAACCCACCCUGUUGACCAGCUGCCUUCACUCUGAUGCUGUUCCCUUGGCUACGUAACCCCCCCCCCUUUACCAGUCAUCCAAGCCCCCACCUCUAGUUUCAUUCUGGAUUCUGAUCUCUCUCCCUGACCCCAAGCCAAUUUUGAAGCCCAGUCUAAUAUUGUCUAAAGUAUACUUCUUGGGUCUGUCCCUUCCUUUCCAUGACCUCUGCCUUGACUCUAAUUCUGGACUUUUAGCCGUAUGCCUAGACCAGGGCAGUCACCUCCCUGCCAACAGUCCUUUCUUUCUUUCUUUUUUUUUUUUUUUUUUUUUUUUUUUGUUUGGCUUUUCUGCACACUUGGCGUAUGGAAGUUCCCAGGCUAGGGGUCAAAAUCAGAGCUACAGCUGCCAGCCUACACCACAACCACAGCAAUGCGGGAUCCGAGCUGAAUCUGCAAUCUACACCACAGCUCACGGCAAUGCUGGAUCCUUGACCCACCGAGCAAGGCCAGGAAUUGAACCCGAAUCUUCAUGGAUACCAGUUUGAUUGUUUCUGCUGCGCCACGAUGGGAGCUCCCCAACAGUCCUUUCUUACCCAUCCAAUUGGCCAAAGGGACCUUAGAGUGCCUCUUUGAUGCUGCCCUGCUCAUGUCUGUGAACAAACUCUAAACUGGCCACCUUGCCCACCUCCAGACUCAUCCAAGUGAGACGCAGCCACCAGCUCACAUGGUUCACCCCAUUCAUCCCUCACCUGGUGGUCACACAGAUGGGCGGGGAAGGGACCAUGGCAGCCACAGCACGAGCAGCCCCUCUGAGCUGCACAUAAGCCGGGUGGGAACCACCUCUGCGAAUACAGUAUAAGUCCAAAGGGAAAGUGGUUCAUUCUGCACAAACACCACUUGACUUUCAUGGAUGGCCCAUUUGCCUGUUAAGUACUGUCGAGGCACAACUGAGAUCACGAAGGUCUGCUUGGAGUUAGUGCUUAUCGUCAGGUCCCUGCAGAGCCAGGUCUGCCACCUGGUGCAUUUUAUCAUCCUCACUUUGUGCAAAGGAAUGCACUAACAAAUGGGGACACACAUGCUUGGACAGUGGGGAAGCUCGGCAGGGGGGCUGGGACAGCAACACUAGGUUACCAGGGAAGAGAACUUGAAUCAGCCAGCCUGUCUUUUCAGGCGUAGCUAGAGGAAGGGCUUUGGGAUUUGCAUAACUUACUGAUGAGCAGAGUGUGGUAAGCUACUGCUCUCCUCCCACCUCCCAGGCUGCUUCGGAAGUGCUGCUUUCUCCAAAAGCCACAGUUUUAAAAUCUGAGCAACCACUGGAUUGGAAACAAACUGACCUCAAGAAUAGAGAUAAGAGUAGAAGGUGCCCCCUUGGAGUUCCCUUCAUGGCACAGUGGUUAGCGAAUCUGACUAGGAACCAUGAGGUUGCGGGUUCGAUCUCUGGCCUUGCUCAAGGGGUUAAGGAUCCGGCGUUGCGGUGAGCAGUGGUGUAGGUUGAAGACUCGGCUCGGAUCCUGCAUUGCUGUGGCUGUGGCUGUGGCUGGCGGCUACAGCUCUGAUUGGACCCCUGGCCUAGGGAAUCUCCAUAUGCCGCGGGGAGCGGCCCUAGAAAAAGGCAAAAA